rnacentral:rRNA from 1 species
UAGGGAAUCUUCCACAAUGGACGCAAGUCUGAUGGAGCAACGCCGCGUGAGUGAAGAAGGUUUUCGGACCGUAAAGCUCUGUUGUUGGUGAAGAAGGAUAGAGGUAGUAACUGGCCUUUAUUUGACGGUAAUCAACCAGAAAGUCACGGCUAACUACGCGCCAGCAGCCGCGGUAAUACGUAGGUGGCAAGCGUUGUCCGGAUUUAUUGGGCGUAAAGCGAGCGCAGGCGGAAGAAUAAGUCUGACGUGAAAGCCCUCGGCUUAACCGAGGAAUUGCAUCGGAAACUGUUUUCUUGAGUGCAGAAGAGGAGAGUAGAACUCCAUGUGUAGCGGUGGAAUGCGUAGAUAUAUGGAAGAAUACCAGUGGCGAAGGCGGCUCUCUGGUCUGCAACUGACGCUGAGGCUCGAAAGCAUGGGUAGCGAACAGGAUUAGAUACCCUGGUAGUCCAUGCCGUAAACGAUGAGUGCUAAGUGUUGGGAGGCUUCCGCCUCUCAGUGCUGCAGCUAACGCAUUAAGCACUCCGCCUGGGGGAGUACGACCGCAAGGUUGAAAC